UNUCUGCUGUAGCCUCCUUCAUCAGGUC
rnacentral:piRNA from 1 species